AGAACCUCAGGAUUUAUACUGGUACCUCAGGUCUCUUAUGUGAUGGAGCUUUCAGAGAUGGAAUAAUUGGCUCAGUAUAUAUACAGUGCCACCCAGUAGUCACUGUAACCUUAGAAAGGGUGAGAGAAUUAAGCAAGAUGGGAGCCAGGGGCCUCAACGCACAAGGCAAGGAGACCUCUUAUGCACCAGUUCACACACUCUUGUCCUCACCUCUAUGCCCAGCCAUAGUUUUGGUGAACAGUUUUGUACAGGUUUUGACCUGCUUCAGGCUGACAGCACCUCCAUGCAUGUACACCUUGCUUUGCCUUCAGUUUUUGCCCCAGGUCUUCUCUGAUGCCUGUGACAGCCUGCUCAGCAUUCAUGCAUGAGAAACACAGAAAUAUGGGGACAAUUAACAGCCAAUGGGGCAAACCUCAGCUCUCCAGUGGCAAGACCUAAACGGAGCCUUUGUUCAGUAUUUGGCACAUUGUUCCCAAGGCGGCAAUGGUCCAUUUUGAAGAGACACAUGACACCCUCAAGGAAACUGGACUGAGGAGCAGGACCGGCCCGUGCAGGAGAAACAGAGCAGUGGUGUGUUCUUUCCCCGGGCGAGGCUACUCCCUGCAUGCCAGGAUGCUUCUACCAAACAAAGGUCCUUUGGAAAAGAAAAAGCAGCCCCUGGCUGGUCUUGGUUAUGAGCAGCCUCUUCUAUGUGCAAGGUGGUUGUGAGAAAUUGGCUCUUAUUAAAUGUCAGAUAAUUGUGUUGA